GGGCUCGCAGGCGGUUUCUUAAGUCUGAUGUGAAAGCCCCCGGCUCAACCGGGGAGGGUCAUUGGAAACUGGGGAACUUGAGUGCAGAAGAGGAGAGUGGAAUUCCACGUGUAGCGGUGAAAUGCGUAGAGAUGUGGAGGAACACCAGUGGCGAAGGCGACUCUCUGGUCUGUAACUGACGCUGAGGAGCGAAAGCGUGGGGAGCGAACAGGAUUAGAUACCCUGGUAGUCCACGCCGUAAACGAUGAGUGCUAAGUGUUAGGGGGUUUCCGCCCCUUAGUGCUGCAGCUAACGCAUUAAGCACUCCGCCUGGGGAGUACGGUCGCAAGACUGAAACUCAAAGGAAUUGACGGGGGCCCGCACAAGCGGUGGAGCAUGUGGUUUAAUUCGAAGCAACGCGAAGAACCUUACCAGGUCUUGACAUCCUCUGACACUCCUAGAGAUAGGACGUCCCCUUCGGGGGCAGAGUGACAGGUGGUGCAUGGUUGUCGUCAGCUCGUGUCGUGAGAUGUUGGGUUAAGUCCCGCAACGAGCGCAACCCUUGAUCUUAGUUGCCAGCAUUCAGUUGGGCACUCUAAGGUGACUGCCGGUGACAAACCGGAGGAAGGUGGGGAUGACGUCAAAUCAUCAUGCCCCUUAUGACCUGGGCUACACACGUGCUACAAUGGACAGAAC
rnacentral:rRNA from 1 species